UCCGUAGGGUGCAAGCGUUGUCCGGAAUUAUUGGGCGUAAAGAGCUCGUAGGCGGUCUGUCGCGUCUGCUGUGAAAUCCCGGGGCUCAACCCCGGGCCUGCAGUCGAUACGGGCAGACUAGAGUGCGGUAGGGGAGACUGGAAUUCCCGGUGUAGUGGUGAAAUGCGUAGAUAUCGGGAGGAACACCAGUGGCGAAGGCGGCAUCCUGGCCAUGUCCUGACGCUGAGGGGCGAAAGCGUGGGGAGCAAACCGG
rnacentral:rRNA from 1 species